UUCACACCACCAGUGAUUACCAUGCAACCCAGUUUGAUCAUCCACCAAGCUCAAGCAUUGAACAACAAACAUCUGCGUUAGAAUGUCCUCCACAUGCAAGGGGUCACAAGGAUUCACUAAUGGAGACUGAAAGAAAAAUGGGUUCAACUCGCAAGAGUACUGGUAGGUUUAAAGGUGAGAGAAAACUUGAUGACGUGAGGACCACUGAAGAGUUAGAUGAAGAAUAUGUAACUCAACCAAACACAUCAACCACUAAGGAACAACAUGCUUCUCUAACAGAAGAAGAACAAUCAAGUUUUCCUUCUGAUUUAUCCCUUCAGACCAAAAGUUCUGGUUUUGGAAAGGAGUCUGGAACAACUCCUAUGUUUGCAGUUUCAGAAAAUAAAGGAAAAGGUACAAUCCACCAUAAAGAAAUAACCUCUCAUUCACAUGAGGUAGUAAGAGAUAUGCCUAUAGACGAGGCAAUGGGGCCAUCUGUCCAUUCUAUUCCUGUCACAGUAGCUGAAUGUGAUUUGUUGCGGGAGGAUUCAGUCAUGUUUAAUGAACCAAAGACACUUAGUCACCAAGAAACCCAAAUAGCCAGUACCUCUGGACAAAAAAGAAGGAUGGGCUCAACCCGCAGACCUCUCAGAGGGCAAAACAGUGAAAAUGUAGGUGUGCAAGAACAUUCACGAAACAUGACAGAGAAUGAAAGGAAAGCAAAAGUCAUGGGCGAAGCAAAGUUGAAAAUGUCAGAAGAGAUGGCACAAACAUGGGAUGAUGUGGCAAGAGUUGAUCCAUCGUCCCACACAGAAUCAGCUUUGCUUUUAAGUCAGUCUCUAUUGGCCGAUAGAGCUGAGCUGAAAGAGCCUGAUGUUUCGGCUGGAACUGAAACUAUGAACCAAUCAGUUGCUUUUCCCCUUGUUGAUUCAGAAAAGCCCCUACCUGAAACAUCUAGCCACCAUGGGACUCCAUUACUGAACGAGGCAUUGGAUUUUAAGUUUGGUUCACACACUGAGGAUUUAGAUGUUCUAAACAAAGUUUUAAAAGAAGCAGGA
rnacentral:lncRNA from 1 species